rnacentral:rRNA from 1 species
CCUACGGGAGGCAGCAGUGAGGAAUAUUGGUCAAUGGGCGAAAGCCUGAACCAGCCAAGUCGCGUGAAGGAUGACGGCCCUACGGGUUGUAAACUUCUUUUGUCAGGGAGCAAUUGAGUCCACGUGUGGGCUUAGCGAGAGUACCUGAAGAAAAAGCAUCGGCUAACUCCGUGCCAGCAGCCGCGGUAAUACGGAGGAUGCGAGCGUUAUCCGGAUUUAUUGGGUUUAACGGGUGCGUAGGCGGACUAUCAAGUCAGCGGUAAAAAUUCGGGGAUCAACCGCGUCGUGCCUUUGAAACUGAUGUUCUUGAGUGGGCGAGAAGUAUGCGGAAUGCGUGGUGUAGCGGUGAAAUGCAUAGAUAUCACGCAGAACUCCGAUUGCGAAGGCAGCAUACCGGCGCCCAACUGACGCUGAAGCACGAAAGCGUGGGUAGCGAACAGGAUUAGAUACCCUUGUAGUC